AUGUUCCUUCGGGGUCAGGUGAAAUUCCUAACCGGCGGUGAUGAAGCUUAUGCUUCUUAGUCCGUGACCCGGUUAACCUAUGGUUAAGCGGUGGAUCUGGUGAAACUCCAGGGCCGACAGUUAAAGUCUGGAUGGGAGAAGGAAAAA
rnacentral:ncRNA from 2 species